rnacentral:ribozyme from 1 species
ACUAGCCUUAUUGCUCUUCACCGUGGUAGGAUCAGAAACCUCGUGUAGGUCACACGGGCUGUUCUACUCAACUCCUAUUCCGCCAUGUCCUCUUCGUGCAGAUUGGUAACGUGUACCACCGUAUAUCCAAGCUUGAGUGGAUGGUGGUGCACGGCAAACCGGGAAGGG